GGGGAGUCAGCCAGGACUCCCCCCGGCUGGGGCACAGUGGGCCACAUGGGGCCACCCUGGGGCCACCCAGCCCGCGGCCACGUUGCCCGCCACACCUCCAGCCAGAGCUACGGGGCCUUUUUCCUCCGCUUAAGUCACGGAUUGGGCACCCAGCCCCAGGGUGGGGAGGUCUGGACAAAGGAGGGGAAUGAAUGGGCCCAGGGCAGACCCGACCGAGGGUUCUGCUACGCGAGGAAAAGAGCCUCCAUCCAGCCUGACCCUUCCCGAGCGGCAGGGCCCGCCCCGCCCCCAGCACCUCCAGGCUUCAGAAGGCUGUCAUCUCUGUCCCCUCCGGCCUGGCGGGCAGCCAUCGCUGCACACAGCCCUCUCCUAGGAUGGAGUCUUCCAUCUUGCCCACACCGGAACCCCAUUAGGCAGGGCCUCAGUUGGGUUCCCCAUCCCCCACCCUGGCCUCCUCUUUCUACCCAGACCUGGUCCUGGGCCCAGCCCGGUGCCCCAGGCCUCAGCAUCAGGCAUAUUCUGUCCCCUCCUCCAGGGCUGCCCCGGUACCCCCAGCCCCUGGCACCCUUCCUGCCCAGCGUCCCCCACCACGCACACGUGUACACAUUAGAACCUAAUUCUGUUCUCCCAUCUCCCUAGAGCCUGGAGCUCAAGGCCGAGACUCUGCUAGGGAGGUGGGGGCAGGGCGGGGAGGUUUAUUCCUUGGGGUUGGAUGGGGGGUGCCAGGCCCUAGUGUGAUGAUGCUUUUGCCUACAAAGUGGGACACAAUAAGGGAGGGAUUUUCCUCGGAAUUUGGGGGUGACUGUAGGGGCCACAGUAUCCAGACAGGAGAGGCAUCCCAGUGAGAAAACGCUCCCCAAGGGCAAUGGCAGCCGGGUGAGAAGGGGGAGGGGCAAGGCCCCACCCUCCCACCUGCUGCAGCUGCCCCCUCCCCAGCUGGCCCCCUCUUUUGUGCAAAGCCACACAAAGGACAAGGGGCCCCGGUUGGCCUGGCCAUCUGCUCCUAGCAGCCUGAAGGCUCUUAAAGAGACAGCACCCCCUCCCUGCCGCCCUGGGGCUGCUCUGAGGGACCUGGUCUCCCUCGUGGAGGGACCAAAUCCCUCACACUCUCCCUGGCGCCCCAGCCCCGAGACCGGGCAUCACGCUCCCCCAGGCGAGGGCGCAGAGGUGCCACGUGGCCAGGCAGGGACCAGGGGUGCGGGAGGGAGAGGAGAGGCAGCCGGGGAACCAGACCCUCCGUCCCUACAGCUUAGGCAGCGGAGGGGCCAGCACAGCUCCAAAACGGGGACCGAGAACUGGGGUCCCUUCCCUCCCUGAGGCCAUCUCCGGGCUUGGUGAGACCGCUCCCCGUUCUGCCGCCAUUCUCACCGAGUGGAGCGCUCCCCUCGCCCUUCCUGGGGAGGAGGACAGGGCCUCCUUCCUGGGGGCUGCAGGCCUCCUCGCCUAUGUGCAGCAGCCCCGUGAUCCGGGCACAUUUAUUUCCUGCCUUUUCCCGUGGAGGAAACUGAGGUCGCUCGGCCCCCACCCAGGCCUCCUGAAAGCCUUGGCCGAGUCGGAGCCGCCUCCCGCCCUAGGCCUAGAUGAGGCUCCUCACCCCCGAGAUCCCCAGGGAAACCAGACCAAAUCCCUUUGUCACUCGGCUAGGGACACACGUUUACAUUAUUUGUGUGACUGUUUAUAUCUUGUCUGUCUCCUCACUGGGCUGUAGGCAGGGGCUGUCCACUGUGCUCGUUGCUGCAAAGUUCUCAGGGCCUGGCAUGGAGCAGGCACUCGGUAUUUGCUGAAGAAUAAACGCCAGGAGCCCCCAAAGCCUUCCUCUUCCCAGGGCUCCUCUGUCGUCUGCCUGUUAGGCACCUCCCUCCUCAAGAACCACCUAGAACCUGCCAGAAUAAAGUCAGGUGGAGUACAAGCCCCCAGUGACGUGGCAGAGGAGACAGAAACAGCAGGAAGAAUGCAGGCAUAGAGCGUUCUCAGACCUUGUUUCUCGCUUGCUGUGUGGCCUGAGAUGUGUCCACUCCUCCAGAUUCCUGCCUCCAGUUUGCCGUCUCCGUCCAAGGACACGGAGCUGGACACCGUCCUCAGACGCUGCCCUGCUCACGCCCCGCUCCGCUCAGGGCCGCUCAGGGUUCCGUGGAGCUGCUCUCCCAGGCCUGGACACCAGGAUGGGGUCAGAACGUAGACCAGUGACCCCAAUGGCCCCACCAGCAGGCUACCGACCUGGGACAGAGGCCAGGCAGCCGAGCCAGGAGGACCCUCUGGGGAGGGCACCACGGAGAGAUAGGAAGACCUGGUUUCUCAGUGACACCAUUGGGUCCCUGGAUCAACCUCGUCUGCAGCCACCGAGCCCUGAACUCUUUAGUCAUAUGACCCAAUGAAUGCAUUUCCUUGAUGGAGCUGGUUCAGUCCUGUCUCUGUCACUUGCAACCGCCGCCUCUGAAAGAAUACGUCUCUCAACGCCUCCCCACUUGACCUUCUGCGUAGGCCGCGCUCAACACCCUGCUGGGCUGAUGCUCCAUGCCUCCUGGCUGAUUCCCAUUUGCCUUGCAAAGUGCAGCUCAGCUGUCACCUGGUCCGGGAGUUCGGAGUUCGCCUCUCCCCUCUCCGUCUCAGCGCAAGUCACUGCAAUGCAGCCACCUGCCUGUUCACCUAGCUUGUCCCCUCCCAUGGCUGAGAGCCCGAGAGGGUGGGGCAUCUGCCUUCCUCCCCUGGGCAUUGCCAGCUCCUCACAUGCUCCGCAGCAGCUGGCACAUAGCAGGUGCUUAACCAGUGUCUGCUGAGUGAGUCAGCACCCAAG